rnacentral:rRNA from 1 species
AUUGAACGCUGGCGGCAUGCCUUACACAUGCAAGUCGAACGGUAACAGGGAGCUUGCUCCGCUGACGAGUGGCGAACGGGUGAGUAAUGUAUCGGAACGUACCUUUUAGUGGGGGAUAACGUAGCGACAGUUACGCUAAUACCGCAUAUUCUCUGAGGAGGAAAGCAGGGGACCUUCGGGCCUUGCGCUAAUAGAGCGGCUGAUAUCAGAUUAGCUAGUUGGUGAGGUAAAGGCUCACCAAGGUGACGAUCUGUAGCGGGUGUGAGAGGAUGAUCCGACACACUGGAACUGAGACACGGUCCAGACUCCUACGGGAGGCAGCAGUGGGGAAUUUUGGACAAUGGGGGCAACCCUGAUCCAGCCAUGCCGCGUGAGUGAAGAAGGCCUUCGGGUUGUAAAGCUCUUUCGGCCGGGAAAAAAUCGCAUGGGUUAAUACCCUGUGUGGAUGAUGGUACCGGAAUAAGAAGCACCGGCUAACUACGUGCCAGCCGCCGCCGUAA